rnacentral:rRNA from 1 species
CUACGGGACGCAGCAGUUAGGGAUAUUCGGCAAUGGGGGAAACCCUGACCGAGCAAUGCCGCGUGAAUGACGAAGUAUUUCGAUAUGUAAAGUUCUGUUGUUAAGGAAGAAAGGUACGAAUAGGAAAUGAUUCGUAAUUGACGGUACUUAACCAGAAAGCCCCUGCUAACUACGUGCCAGCAGCAGCGGUAAUACGUAGGGGGCGAGCGUUAUCCGGAAUUAUUGGGCGUAAAGGGUGCGUAGGCGGCCUGUCAAGUCCGAGUUGAAAGCCCACGGCUUAACCGUGGAGGGUGCUCGGAAACUGAUAGGCUUGAAUCCAGAAGAGGCAAGUGGAAUUCUAUGUGGAGCGGUGGAAUGCGUAGAUAUAUGGGGGAACACCAGUGGCGAAGGCGGCUUGCUGGGCUGGUAUUGACGCUGAUGCACGGAAGCGUGGGGAGCAAACAGGAUUAGAUACCCCUGUAGUC